rnacentral:rRNA from 1 species
ACAAGCGGUGGAGCAUGUGGUUUAAUUCGAAGCAACGCGAAGAACCUUACCAAAUCUUGACAUCCUUUGACAACUCUAGAGAUAGAGUCUUCCCCUUCGGGGGACAAAGUGACAGGUGGUGCAUGGUUGUCGUCAGCUCGUGUCGUGAGAUGUUGGGUUAAGUCCCGCAACGAGCGCAACCCUUAAGCUUAGUUGCCAUCAUUAAGUUGGGCACUCUAAGUUGACUGCCGGUGACAAACCGGAGGAAGGUGGGGAUGACGUCAAAUCAUCAUGCCCCUUAUGAUUUGGGCUACACACGUGCUACAAUGGACAAUACAAAGGGCAGCGAAACCGCGAGGUCAAGCAAAUCCCAUAAAGUUGUUCUCAGUUCGGAUUGUAGUCUGCAACUCGACUACAUGAAGCUGGAAUCGCUAGUAAUCGUAGAUCAGCAUGCUACGGUGAAUACGUUCCCGGGUCUUGUACACACCGCCCGUCACACCACGAGAGUUUGUAACACCCGAAGCCGGUGGAGUAACCUUUUAGGAGCUAGCCGUCGAAGGUGGGACAAAUGAUUGGGGUGAAGUCGUAACAAGGUAGCCGUAUCGGAAGGUGCGGCUGGAUCACCUCCUUUCUAAGGA